GUUUGUCACCCCGACGCUGGAGAAUGAAAGGGCCCUUCUGUCAUAAAAUCUCAUCGACCGACGCUGAAGCCUGGUCUCAGAUCAGUGACAGGCCGAGUGAAUGCAGACCGCUGGAACGGAGUCAUUUAAGAGCAUUCCCAAAGAGCCCAACGACACGUGAUGCGUGUCAGUAGAUGUUCAGCGGUACGGACGAGCGUCUCUGCCCGAUUCACUUUCUAGAACAAGUGGUUUCUUUCAACUUUGACGCUCGUCUGACGACCCGGAGGAAAACGCUGUUGGUCAAAGGUUUGCCCAGCAAUACCCUAGCAACCACCUAGCGACACCCUAGCAACACUCCAACAGCCUCAUAGCAACAAUUUGGUAUCGUGGCACGUGUUGCACAGAUUUCACAUAACUGUGUUUGACGGAUCAACGCGUGCUGGGUACCUGAAAGUCAAGCCAUCCCUCUUACCUGGUAUGCAAGG